rnacentral:lncRNA from 1 species
AAUUUUUAGAGAUGAUAAGAGUGAUUUGAUGAAAAGUUUUUAGAGAUAAUAAAAAUGAACAUAAUGAAUGAAUCUAGAUUGAAGAUGAAGAUGGUAGGCGAAUAUAAAUUUUUAAGAGAUGAUGGAAGUAAAUUGAUUUGAUAGUUUUGCAUAUUCAAAUUUCUUUGUUUGUUAUUGUUUAACUUCAAUUUUAUUGAAUAAAACAAACAAGUUAAUUAAAAUUU